GCCGGGGUAGCUCAGUUGGCUAGAGCGAAGGACUCAUAAGCCUUAGGUCGCCAGUUCAAUCCUGGCCCCCGGCA
rfam:Candidate division WOR-1 bacterium RIFOXYC2_FTLL_41_25 rifoxyc2_full_scaffold_180, whole genome shotgun sequence.